GUAGGUGGCAAGCGUUGUCCGGAAUUAUUGGGCGUAAAGCGCGCGCAGGCGGGUCCUUUAAGUCUGAUGUGAAAGCCCACGGCUCAACCGUGGAGGGUCAUUGGAAACUGGGGGACUUGAGUACAGAAGAGGAAAGCGGAAUUCCAAGUGUAGCGGUGAAAUGCGUAGAGAUUUGGAGGAACACCAGUGGCGAAGGCGGCUUUCUGGUCUGUAACUGACGCUGAGGCGCGAAAGCGUGGGGAGCAAACAGGAUUAGAUACCCUGGUAGUCCACGCCGUAAACGAUGAGUGCUAAGUGUUAGGGGGUUUCCGCCCCUUAGUGCUGCAGCUAACGCAUUAAGCACUCCGCCUGGGGAGUACGGCCGCAAAGGCUG
rnacentral:rRNA from 1 species